CCGGCCGCCUCGGCGUCGGCCUCACUCCACUCCACUCCACUCCACUGGAGUGAAGCUCGAGUAGAAUGGUACGCACCCCACGCGCAGUGACGGACUGACGGGACGGCUGAUGAUCAGCGGGCGGACUGGAUCUGAUUAGGUGGCCACUGUUGCAACAACCUUGGGUGAUUGAUUACAUUACAUUACAUUAGAUAAUAGAGAGGGAUUGUCUGUUUUACAUCCGACUGAAAUCCAAUUCCAUUUCAGUCAUAUAUUUCCACCGUGUUUUACAUCCGAUUGUCUCUUGUCUUUCCCUCUCUCUUCCUUUAAAAAUCAAAAAGAGACCCUGAGAAAGACUAAACGGGUCCCCGCUUUAAAACCCCAAAAAAGAACAAGCUGCAUAACCUCUCCAUCGCACACAAGAACAAGAAGCAAACACGGCGGGGAUUCCUCCAAGGGAGCAGAGCUGGAGAAAGACAUGGAUUUCCAGGAACAAGAAGCUGAAGGAAACGAAGGGAAGCAAGAAUGCGAGGACAGGAGUCAUACCUGCAAGAUGAAGAGGAUGCACUCCUUCAUAACGGGGCGUACACAUUUACUGAACUUCUUCAAGUGCAGAUGAUGUACAAGGAAAAUUAUUCUGGAUUCCAGGGAAGUACAGAAACUGACUACAAUCUGGCGAACACUGCAACCAGCAAUUAUCAAACAUGAACACACAACGACACGGGAGAAACUGUGAUGAUGAGUGUUCACAACCCAUGGGAUGUCAGUCUAUUUGACAACAUGGAACCUGACAAGGAACCUGAAGAAUCUGCAUAUGAUACAUCUGCAACACAAGCAACAGAGAAAGGGCUAAAUCUACAAGCAACAGAAAGAAGUGAAGAGACAGAAAAACAGCAGUAAACUCAAACCGAAGAAGACAAGGAGUACCUAGAUCUUCCUACGAGAUGUUCCUAUGAGAUGUUUCAUGUACAGAAAACGAAUUUACAGUUAAGUGUACACAGUAAAUAGAAAUCAAA